AUUUCUUUCAUUUUGACCUGUACCAGAUGUGCCAGUUUGAGUGUAGUAUCUGUUGGUAUCAGUUUAAUAUCUGAUAUGUCCUCUAUAGGAGGAUUCUAUAUUAAAUGGAGCUGUGAGCUGGAAAAGGAGCUAGCUCCGUCUGCUCCACAUUUUCAGGGUAGUAGUAGCUCAAGUAGUUAAGGUUU